GAGUUUGAUCAUGGCUCAGGAUGAACGCUAGCGGCAGGCUUAACACAUGCAAGUCGAGGGGCAGCACGGUGUAGCAAUACAUUGGUGGCGACCGGCGCACGGGUGCGUAACGCGUAUACAAUUUGCCUUAUACAGGGAGAUAGCCCGGAGAAAUUCGGAUUAAUAUCCCAUAACACUGCGCUAUGGCAUCAUAGUGCAUUUAAAGCUACGGCGGUAUAAGAUGAGUAUGCAUCUGAUUAGCUAGUUGGUGAGGUAACGGCUCACCAAGGCGACGAUCAGUAGGGGGCCUGAGAGGGUUAUCCCCCACACUGGAACUGAGACACGGUCCAGACUCCUACGGGAGGCAGCAGUGAGGAAUAUUGGUCAAUGGAGGCAACUCUGAACCAGCCAUGCCGCGUGUAGGAAGAAUGCCCUAUGGGUUGUAAACUACUUUUAUUGGGAAGAACCCCUUACGAGUAAGGGGCUGACGGUACCAAAGGAAUAAGGACCGGCUAACUCCGUGCCAGCCGCC
rnacentral:rRNA from 1 species